UACGAAGGGGGCUAGCGUUGCUCGGAAUUACUGGGCGUAAAGGGCGCGUAGGCGGGUUGCUUAGUUAGAGGUGAAAGCCCAGGGCUCAACCCUGGAAUUGCCUUUAAUACUGGCAGCCUUGAGUAUGGCAGAGGUGUGUGGAACUCCGAGUGUAGAGGUGAAAUUCGUAGAUAUUCGGAAGAACACCAGUGGCGAAGGCGACACACUGGGCCAUUACUGACGCUGAGGCGCGAAAGCGUGGGGAGCAAACAGG
rnacentral:rRNA from 1 species